CACGCGCCGUCGGUGGAGGGGGAUUUUCAUUCCGUGGGCAAGCUUACGAGGUGCUUGACGUCAUUUAUGGACGGCCCCCAAGAGGAAAGUGGAAACAAAUGACGAAAUGUGCAGUGGACACCUACGUACUAUCUGUCCAUGCAUCGUGAUGACAACGAUGAUGACGGAUGUUGAAAGAACCCGCCUCUGGGUUGGAUACCUCCAG